rnacentral:rRNA from 1 species
AGUGAACGCUGGCGGUAGGCCUAACACAUGCAAGUCGAACGGCAGCACAGUAAGAGCUUGCUCUUACGGGUGGCGAGUGGCGGACGGGUGAGGAAUACAUCGGAAUCUACUUUUUCGUGGGGGAUAACGUAGGGAAACUUACGCUAAUACCGCAUACGACCUACGGGUGAAAGCAGGGGAUCUUCGGACCUUGCGCGAUUGAAUGAGCCGAUGUCGGAUUAGCUAGUUGGCGGGGUAAAGGCCCACCAAGGCGACGAUCCGUAGCUGGUCUGAGAGGAUGAUCAGCCACACUGGAAUUGAGACACGGUCCAGACUCCUAAGGGAGGUAGCAGUGUGGAAUAUUGGACAAUGGGCGCAAUCCUGAUCCAGCCAUACCGCGUGGGUGAAGAAGGCCUUCGGGUUGUAAAGCCCUUUUGUUGGGAAAGAAAAGCAGCAGGUUAAUACCCCGCUGUUCUGACGGUACCCAAAGAAUAAGCACCGGCUAACUUCGUG